rnacentral:rRNA from 1 species
UGGAAUGAAUGGUUGGAUGAAAAAUAUAUUUUCUUUUUUUUAAAAUUUAAAAAUUUAAUUUUUUAGUUAAAAAGCUAAGAUUAAGUUAUAAGACGAGAAGACCCUAUAGAACUUUAUUAUAUUUUUAUAUGUUUAUAUAUAGGAAAUUAUAUUUAAUAUAUAUAAAAUAUAAUUUUGUUGGGGUGACAGAAAAAAUUUAAUAACUUUUUUUAUUUUUUUCAUUAUGUAUGAAUAAAUGAUCCUUUUUUAGGGAUUAAAGAUCAAGUUACCUUAGGGAUAACAGCGUUAUUAUUUUGGAGAGUUCAUAUCUAUAAAAUAGUUUGCCACCUCG